CUCAUCAAAUGUAGAAUUAUUUAAAUAUAUAUGUAUAUUUUAGUAGAAAAUGUGAAAAUAGUUGUAGAACAGAAAUAAUAAACUCAUCUUGAUUUUUGGCUGAUGGUCCCUUUUAAAAUGACAGUAAGUACAUAUUUAUUUAUUCAUUCACACAAUAAAAUUGUUUUGUUUUUUUUUUAAAGAAAGUUGUCAUCAAACCAGAUUCCGAACACAAACAGAUCCAAACCUCCAGCAGGACUCCAGAAAAGGUGAGAAAAACAUUAAAAUCAGGAUUUGAUCAACCAGAAACGUCUCUGAACACAAACAUCUGACAGUUUCUGAUCGACGUCUUUGAUUCCAAAGACAGUGUGAAAGGUCCGAUCUGGUUUCUAGCAGAUCUGAUCUGGAUAAAACACGUUUUCAUUUGUUGCUCAGGUUCCUGCAGCUGCAGAUGUCGACAUGACGGACCGUUACGUCCUGCUGCUCACCUGGCAGGUGUGGCCAGUGUGUCCUGAUUGGCACCUGCUUGUAUUUAAGGCAGGAGCUGGGUGGGUUUUAGUUUUAGUUUUUGUCCCCUUCUGCAUUCUAGACCCGAGCCCGGUUUGCCAUCGGGUCGUAACGGUGACCUCUGAAGAUCCUGAAACCAACGGAGAGUUUGACUUUAAAUAAAAGGAAAUGGCUCCACUGGAGGUCUUGCCUUAAAAGCAGAAAUUUGUUUAAAACAAGAUG